AAAUGCUUCGUAUUGUAUAGGCUUCUCUUAUAGUGUCCGUCAGCCCACCUGAAAAAAAAACUGCAACACCAAAAUAAAUGCCCCAUUAGAUACCAUAGUCUAAAUUCUCACAUAUGAGUAAAAUGCUGACAUGACAGCUCAAAAUGUCUUCUGUAAUCUGUACUGUACCACCAUAUUAGUGAUGUGAGGUGGUUGAUCUAGAACAAAAAUCAUUUCUUGGACUCCACCAGUUCGCAACUUCUGAAUUCUAAUCUCUCUAUAACUUCCAAUGAGCUUGAAAGUUCUGAAAUUUUCUAAUUAGCUUUUAUAUAAUAUUUUUUUAAAAAAAUUCUAGUGUCUCCUAUGUUGGAAAUAAUGCUUGUUGGGCCUCCUUGUUAGCAAUCAUCAGUGUGACAAUAUUAAUGAUUGGAAAAUUACAGAUCACAAUAUUAAUGGUGCUGGUUUGCCUGCUUUGAGCUGACAGGAACUGAAAAAGGAUGCAAGUCCAACAAACCUGCUGUGUUGUGGCCUUGAGGGGCUACUUUUGGAGGGAAACGGCGUCCUUAACAUUGCCAGACUCCUUGCUAACGGCGUUGCUGAAGUGCACCAUCUGCGUGCUGAUGCACGGGCGACAGCAUGACGAAAUCUAUCUUCUCUACUUCUUGCUAACCCGGCGGAUAGCCUGCGUAGCCCCGCUGAUAAGCACGGAGCGGCCCCAGCGACGUCGUCGAGGUCGCCAAUCUUGAUCACUGGCCAUCUUCCGAUUUAAAUAGUUUUUUUCUUCCGAUUUAGAUGCCAGGCCUUCUCUAUCUAUUAGAAAAAAAAUGUAUUUCCGAGUGACCGUUCUUGUAGGCCCGUCGCAUCAAAUCCCUCUAUCCAAGCUCCGCGGGCGUAACAGAGAGACGCACCUACUGAAACCAAGGAUUGAGCCGUUCAAAAAAAAAAGGCCAAGGAUGUGCUUUUGCUCAACUAUAUUUAAAACAGGUUUUCUGCACAUACAAGGACUUGCUGCAGUGACAAAUUUUACAAAGGGAUGCCGGCACUAACAAUUACUUCUUUGUGUCAUUGUGUGAUCCGAGUAUCUGCACCGGCAAUGAAAAUGAAGCUGGGGAAAAGCACUGGUCUUCAUUUUGAUCUUCCUGGAGUUCUGAGUGUAGAACUCGGUUUACCUGCGCUUUUUUCAUUCUUUCUUCUCGCUGAUUCCAGCAAAAAAUGGCUGCAUCUAAUUUCCUCAGGCACGGCACCAGUGCAAUGUACGAGUCCCUGCGUCUUUUUCCUUGUGUAAUUUUUUUUGUUGGAUUAGCUGUAUCAUGGCUCAUGAGUACAUCGUCAGAUGCCUCUUAAUUUUGUUGGAUUAGAAUGUUGGGUACUUGGGUAUCAUGGCAAAGGGGGUCACUAUUGGAAUUUCACUUACAGUUUACUCUUUAGGAUCUUGCACCAUGUAUUCCUAGGUUUAGGAGUUCUGAAGUUGAAAAGAAACAAUCAGCAGUGGCAUGCAGUUUUUUGAA